CUCCACCUUGGCGGGAUGUGCAGGUGAAGUGCUCCAGCUCUGAGGACGAAUCCUGGAAGAGAAAACCUGAUCCCAGGGCAUGAAGAAGGAGGAAAAGGAUGCAGGAAAGAAUUUAAGAGGCAAAGUGGAUGUGAUAAAGGAACGAGAAGAUCAUGAGAAAAGAUGAAAAAGAGAACAGUGACUGACCCAUGUCAUGAAGCAUCAGUUUCUAAACUUUGCUGUAUGCAGGCUCAAUGUGACGCACGGUGGGUGGUUACCAUGGCAUAGGAAAACAUUGCCAGCGCUGGCCCUGUCGUCAUGGAACCCCUGGGCCAUCUCCUGAGAAACUUGGCAUCCCUCUUCAGGAAGGAGCUUCCUGUGUUUUCUCUGGGAACUCACCUGUUUUCCACUCCAGACUCUCCAAGAUAUGCAGAGCUUUGGGCCAGGAUCCUACAGCCACGGGUCAUGCAGAGCCAGUUGGCCACAUCCUUUGGGCCAAAUUUGGUCCUAACCAGGUCUUACCACGGUAACUGCUAACCAGUCCAUCUUCAGUUAAUAUUUCAUGCGUAAGAUGUUUCAUGAAGUAACUGAAUGGGCUAAUGGGUUGUUCACUGGAUAAGACUCCCAGAUACUCCCUUUCAUGCCAUUCCCCAGAAUUCCUUCACCUCCCAGUGCUGUCUGUAAGGGUGAAGAUACUCCAUUUUGCCCCAUGCUCUUUGCUGUGCCCCAGAUAGGCUCAAACAUUUUUCCCUUUUGGGGAUUUUGCAGGUAGGAAUUGUUGAACAUCUUACCAUUUAAUCCAGAAGUUAUGUCCUUUAAGGAAUCGACCCUGAGCCUGUGAGUUUUACUUUGGGUUGGGGGUGAAGGAGUGGACCUUGCAGCAUUCAAGGUCAUCCAAGAUCAUCCAGUUAAGGCCCCUAAGGUCACUACGGGGGGAAAAGCCUGGUGAGGGAAGAGAAAGCAUUAGGGGGAGCUGCACCGUGCUGAGAAAUAACACCACACAGAAGUCUGUGUUCUAAUCUCAGCUCUGCUUUGCAUUACUGUGUGACCUGGAGCUGAUCACAGCCCUCUGAGUCUUAAAGGGGUUGGACAAGGCCAACUAAACAUUAGAAACACCUGAAAGUGCUGGUUAAAAGGAAGAAUGCAUGAGCUUCACUCCAGAUUUACUAUAUCAGAAUUUCCAGGGUCAGGGUCCAAGAAUCUGCAUGUUUAAUACGCUUUCCACAUGAUUUUUCCCCCCUCUGGACUUAAGAAAACAAUGGGCAAGUCAGCUCAUGAAGAACUUUUCAGAUAUUCAGACUAUUAUUCUGAGAGAGAAAAUAUUGGCAGAGAACAGAUGGGAUUUUUCUCAAGGAAAAGAAAUGGAAAUCCUACAUCUUGCAAGAAAUAGAAAAAAAUAAAUAAACUGUUUGAAGAAGAAUCACAUCAGGCUGGCAGGAGAGAGCCUGCGGCUCGGUGUCUGACCCAGAAUGUUAAAGCCAGCCUGGCUUGGCUCCAGGAUAAAGGACACUCUGUCAGCCUCUCCACAUUGAUUCAUCUCCCCAGCCCCAAGAUCAGGAGAGCAUUCUGUUCCUUGAAGCAUUUUAUGACUGUAAGUCAGAAGUGCUGCAGUUUUAAUAAAAAGCUGUAUUGUCCUGAUCUUGUGCAAUAUACUGAACUAUCAUUUUCCAACUGUUGGCUUGCAUACUGGUUUGUGUGAGUAAGCCCGUCCAUCCACAUCACUAAAAGAUAGUAGUAGUAACAACAAUGAC
rnacentral:lncRNA from 1 species